UCCCACAUAAAGUAAUAGUCCAUUGUCAGUCUCAAGCUUCAGCCAAUUGAGUACUCCAUUGAACAUGGGUUUUGAAAGGCCAUCUGCACCACUAACAAACACUCCGACGAAGCCUGGUUUCUUUGGAAGUGGAGGAAACUCUUUGGCAUCCAACACAACAAUCUCUC